UUGGGAAUUUAAGAGGAAUUCCGUGUAAUUCGGAAACUGUGCCGCAACGGUAAAGUCCGGAACUCUUUUCCAAAGAUCAUCAUCCCGAGCAGGAGAAUACGGUCAAAUUUAGGG
rnacentral:ncRNA from 24 species